GGUAAUACGUAGGUGGCAAGCGUUGUCCGGAAUUAUUGGGCGUAAAGCGCGCGCAGGCGGCUUCUUAAGUCUGAUGUGAAAUCUUGCGGCUCAACCGCAAGCGGUCAUUGGAAACUGGGAGGCUUGAGUGCAGAAGAGGAGAGUGGAAUUCCACGUGUAGCGGUGAAAUGCGUAGAGAUGUGGAGGAACACCAGUGGCGAAGGCGGCUCUCUGGUCUGUAACUGACGCUGAGGCGCGAAAGCGUGGGGAGCAAACAGGAUUAGAUACCCUGGUAGUCCACGCCGUAAACGAUGAGUGCUAAGUGUUAGAGGGUUUCCGCCCUUUAGUGCUGCAGCUAACGCAUUAAGCACUCCGCCUGGGGAGUACGGCCGCAAGCUG
rnacentral:rRNA from 1 species